GACGAACGCUGGCGGCGUGCUUAACACAUGCAAGUCGAACGGAAAGGCCCUGCUUGCAGGGUACUCGAGUGGCGAACGGGUGAGUAACACGUGGGUGAUCUGCCCUGCACUUCGGGAUAAGCCUGGGAAACUGGGUCUAAUACCGGAUAGGAGCCAUUUUUAGUGUGAUGGUUGGAAAGUUUUUUCGGUGUAGGAUGAGCUCGCGGCCUAUCAGCUUGUUGGUGGGGUAAUGGCCUACCAAGGCGGCGACGGGUAGCCGGCCUGAGAGGGUGGACGGCCACAUUGGGACUGAGUUACGGCCCAGACUCCAACGGGAGGAAGAAGUGGGGAAUAUUGACCAAUGGGGGCAAGCCUGUUGCAGCAACGCCGCGUGGGGGAUGCCGGCCUUCGGGUGGUAAACUCCUUCCGCUAGGGACGAAGCUUUUUGGGACGGUCCUAAGUUAAGAAGCACCGGCAAACUACUU
rnacentral:rRNA from 1 species